GAUGAACGCUGGCGGCGUGCCUAACACAUGCAAGUCGAACGGAGCUGCUUUGAUGAAGUUUUCGGAUGGAUUUAAAACAGCUUAGUGGCGGACGGGUGAGUAACGCGUGGGUAACCUGCCUCACACUGGGGGAUAACAGUUAGAAAUAGCUGCUAAUACCGCAUAAGCGCACAGUUCCGCAUGGAACAGUGUGAAAAACUCCGGUGGUGUGAGAUGGACCCGCGUCUGAUUAGCCAGUUGGCGGGGUAACGGCCCACCAAAGCGACGAUCAGUAGCCGGCCUGAGAGGGUGAAAGGCCACAUUGGGACUGAGACACGGCCCAAACUCCUACGGGAGGCAGCAGUGGGGAAUAUUGCACAAUGGGGGAAACCCUGAUGCAGCGACGCCGCGUGAGUGAAGAAGUAUUUCGGUAUGUAAAGCUCUAUCAGCAGGGAAGAAAGUGACGGUACCUGAAUAAGAAGCCCCGGCUAACUACGUGCCAGCAGCCGCUGUAA
rnacentral:rRNA from 1 species